AUAAUGCAGUCGAACGCACAGCGAAAGGUGCUUGCACCUUUCAAGUGAGUGGCGAACGGGUGAGUAACACGUGGAUAACCUACCUCAAGGUUGGGGAUAACAUUUGGAAACAGAUGCUAAUACCGAAUAAAACUUAGUAUCGCAUGAUACCAGGUUAAAAGGCGCUACGGCGUCACCUAGAGAUGGAUCCGCGGUGCAUUAGUUAGUUGGUGGGGUAAAGGCUUACCAAGACAAUGAUGCAUAGCCGAGUUGAGAGACUGAUCGGCCACAUUGGGACUGAGACACGGCCCAAACUCCUACGGGAGGCUGCAGUAGGGAAUCUUCCACAAUGGGCGAAAGCCUGAUGGAGCAACGCCGCGUGUGUGAUGAAGGCUUUCGGGUCGUAAAGCACUGUUGUAUGGGAAGAACAGCUAGAGUAGGGAAUGACUUUAGUUUGACGGUACCAUACCAGAAAGGGACGGCUAAAUACGUGCCAGCAGCCGCGGUAAUACGUAUGUCCCGAGCGUUAUCCGGAUUUAUUGGGCGUAAAGCGAGCGCAGACGGUUAAUUAAGUCUGAUGUGAAAGCCCGGAGCUCAACUCCGGAAAGGCAUUGGAAACUGGUUAACUUGAGUGCAGUAGAGGUAAGUGGAACUCCAUGUGUAGCGGUGGAAUGCGUAGAUAUAUGGAAGAACACCAGCGGCGAAGGCGGCUUACUGGACUGUAACUGACGUUGAGGCUCGAAAGUGUGGGUAGCAAACAGGAUUAGAUACCCUGGUAGUCCACACCGUAAACGAUGAACACUAGGUGUUAGGAGGUUUCCGCCUCUUAGUGCCGAAGCUAACGCAUUAAGUGUUCCGCCUGGGGAGUACGACCGCAAGGUUGAAACUCAAAGGAAUUGACGGGGACCCGCACAAGCGGUGGAGCAUGUGGUUUAAUUCGAAGCAACGCGAGAACCUUACCAGGUC
rnacentral:rRNA from 1 species